UGAAGAAAAGAAACAAGAAAGUAGAACCACGUUCGCGUUGACAACAAUGGAGUCAAGCACGGAUACGGUUCCUCAGAAUAUGUUUACUUGUCAUUUGUGUAGUUUAUCUACACCAUUCACAUACUACGGACAGAAGCCACCCAAUACCAGGGCUAUUGUCUUGUUGGAAGAGUGUUUUGUGACCAAGGAUCCUUUCAGUCCAGACGUAGAGAGGUUCCUUAUCCUGGGAUCCAACUGCAGUUUGUGCCACAUCACAGUUUGUGUUGGAACGGGCUGCAGCCUUUUCUACUCCAAGCGAUUCUGCAUGCAGUGUGUGAACAAACACUUGGACCAGUUCCCCACUCACAUUCAAGCUGAGCUCGCCAAGAAAAAGCAGCCAUCAAAGACAGAUGUUUCAUGAUUUCUGUAAGACACAAAUUAAAGACUCUGGAGGUAAAUAGUAAUAUGCUCAAACGCUCUGGUGACACUUUGCUGCCCUGUUUCCAAUCGUCCACAUGGCUGGGAGAACCUAUUCAAGUAGCUAGCCAACAGCCAUGGAGGAGCGGGAAAGGAUAGCAGGCCCAACUGUCAGUGAGAGUAGGCUAUUCUGGAUAGAGCAGGUACUUUUCCGUCCUCACUUCUAGUCCCUAAUGCAAAUAGUCUUGGUAGAGAGAGAUGAGAGAAUCAACAAUGACCUGGUGAUGUAAACGUCUAAAUUGCCUAGUUACUGUGUAGGGCACUGCAAGGUUGGGUGACCAGGGCAAUCUGGGACUGCCUCCUAGGGGAAUUCAGGCGUGUGAAAGGCUACCUGUGUCCUGCAUAACUUCAUGAGUAUGGACAUGAGGACCUGGAGGGGAUCUGCAGCUCGCCGCCGUGUGUCAGAGGAGAGGUCUGCUGCUCUGCAGGAUGUUUCGAGUAUGGGGGACAACAACGCAGCACAACAGGCAAUCCGUGGGGGGGAGAUCUUCACCUCCUACUUAUUCGAAAAGGGUGCUGUUCCCUGGCAACACCAUAGACUACACUAUACACAACCAAAUGCUAUUUAAGAGCCAUCCACAUUGCAAUAAGAGUAUUCUUCCAUUUACUUAGCUAUGUUAACUGCAGUUAUUAAAUUCCCAGUUUCUCUCCUUUUGAUUUCUACUUCUCAGGUGAGGGUGCUGUUCUGGUAAGGGUGAUGUAUGUACAAAAACAAAACGGGCGCUUUUAAGAGUCACCCAUAUUGAAAAUAUGUAGAACAUUUAGACAGACACCCUGUAACCCACACACACCUACAUGUAUCAAUCUGAUUGAUGGAUUGUGUUGUGCAGUAAGCAGGCUCAGGUGUAUAACCGUGGCUCCUUCCACCUUCAAAGAAUAGAAGAGGACCAACCAUGGAGAAUAGUUAGAAACAUCAUUAUUUAUAUAACUACGCUAUAUUGUUUGUCGUCAUCUCUGUACAUGUUUUUCAGUAUAAAGUACUCUGCAUUCACUUAGUGUGGACACACAAACAGAUUCCUGUUGAACAUUGUCUCUAGCUACCUUAUUUUCUCUAAGCCUCUCCUUCACUUCACUUCCUCUUCUCCUUAAAUCCUCUAGGUUAUAUCAGCUGUGUCGGUGAACCCCUCCCACAUCUAAACUGGCUGACAGCGAGCAGCAUGAUCAGAGAUAUGUUUUGAUGCGAGAGGAUGCCAACCCCCAGUCCCAUCAUCGCCACCUCACCCGCUUUUAAGAUAACCUUCGGCCCACCUAGAGACACUAUUAUGUAAUUGUGAUGAACUGAGAGAAUAUUUGGGUAGCACCACUGUGAUUCAUUAAUCAUAUGCUGUCUUCCCUGCUCCUAUGUUCUUACCUUUUUCCCUUUACACCUCUCGCCGCCGCCUCUUUCUUCCUGUUUUUAUAAUACACCACAGAUGUGCAUUGAGGUACAGAUUGAACUUGUAUUUAUAAUGCAUCUAUUUAUAACACUUGGAUAAUGAACUUCUUUCAAUAAAGCGUUUCACAUUCUUUA